CUUUUUUUUUGUUUUGUUUCUGAUGCAUAUAUUAGUGUGAUCCUUGUGAUUUGAUCCUUGACGAUUGCGGUUUUCUAUCAUCUGGCGAUUGGUGGUUUUGGAUUCGGGGCAGGUGCUCUGUCAACAAAUCACUUGGAUCAGAAACUUGGAUUCGGGGCAGGUAUCAUAGUAUAUCGCAGUGACUUGGAUCCGGACAACCAUUCCACCUGUUUCUUCUUCUUCUUGUUCCAGGAAGUCGUGAGACUGAGAGAAGAGCUGGAUGAGGCUAUUCUGCCGAGGUUGCCCGAGGAGCUACGAAGGAUCGAAAAAUAAUGAAAAUUUUCAAUUUUGUGUGUGUAAUUCGGUGAUAUGUUUUGCACGCAUUACCUCUUUGGUGUCAAUCUGUUUUUCUUAACCUGCUUGGAUACUGUUGUUGUAAUUUGCUUGGUCUUCUUACUUAGUGUUGAACCAACUUUCUGCAUUAUUAUUUCUUCCUCUCCCUUAC